rnacentral:rRNA from 1 species
UACGUAGGGUGCAAGCGUUAAUCGGAAUUACUGGGCGUAAAGCGUGCGCAGGCGGUUUUGUAAGACCGAUGUGAAAUCCCCGGGCUUAACCUGGGAACUGCAUUGGUGACUGCAAGGCUUGAGUGUGUCAGAGGGAGGUGGAAUUCCGCGUGUAGCAGUGAAAUGCGUAGAUAUGCGGAGGAACACCGAUGGCGAAGGCAGCCUCCUGGGAUAACACUGACGCUCAUGCACGAAAGCGUGGGGAGCAAACGAGG